ensembl:misc_RNA 7SK 7SK RNA
GGAGCAAAUGUGAGGGUGAUCUGGCCAUGACAUCUGUCACACUAUUGAUUGCCAGGGUUGAUUCAGCUGAUCUGGCUGGCUAUGCCAGUGUCCCCUUCCUCUCUCUCUCCCCUUCCCCCUGCUCCAUGUAUGUCCCUCCCAAAGCUGCGCACUCAGUUGAAGAGGACAACCAACCUCGAUAGAUGAGGACUGGACUUCGGUCAAGUGUAUACGAGUAGCUGCGCUCCCCUGCUAGAACCUCCAAACAAGCUCUCAAUAUCAUUGGGGACCAAUGUAAACUUUAACCUCAGACUGACAGCAAAUAGCUGGAGAGAUUCCAG